UAAGCAAGUAAAAUAUGGGUUAGGGUUUUAAUAUUUCUCCCUCAUAUUAACCCAUCUCACACCAUUCUUUCUCCAUCUCAUUCAUUGUGUUCUCUCUUCAUUCUCCAACUUCUUCCCCCACCAAAAACAGCCCCGGCAGCCGCCAGGGUUGACCACCACCACCAGCUGCCAGGACCGAGCACCACCCAUGGCCAGUGACAACCGGUCGACGCCCCACAACCGCUAGCUGUUCCCCCCUGCACGCUUCUUCUCUCUCUCUUCUUCCCCCAUUUUUUGUUUCAUGUUCAUGAGAGGAAGGUGGAACUUUAGUUGGGUGAUUAUUGUGAUUUUGUCGUGCAGUGACACUUACAGCAGGGUUAUCAUAGAUAGACAUUACAGGUGAUGGAGCUUCUUUACAUUGCAUAUCGGGGGAAUGAGUGAGAAUCUUAAUGUAUACAAUAAUCUUAUUGUCUACAUGUAGUUUCUUUUAAUUAAACCUUCAACAAUGGAGAUCGAUAAAGUAGAGAAGCCCCAACUAGCAAUAAACCUAUAGAUUGAACAACUAUAUAACUAAAAUAAACUUUGAUUGAAGUAUCUUUGUGAUUUUCAAUGUUGAUUGUAGAAGAUAAAACCUAGAAUUUAAGAACAAGGAUGAAGGAAGAACUAAUAAGCAUAAAAUGAUUCUUGCAAAAUAAGCUAGUACAAGUAGUAAAGGUAAUGUAAAAGGUGUGUUCUCAUAUUAUAAAAUAUCUCCCAUAUAUAGUGAUGCUCAAGAGUGAUGUAACCUAGGUCUUCCAAAACAGAGGAAUAAUCCUUCAAAAUGAUGUAAAAAGGGUCAUCAAAUGAGCGGCCAAGCCAAAAGCCCAUUCAGCGAAGAGAGAACGAUCGGUCGUUCUGGGGGAACGAUCAGUCGUUCCACAUUCUGUCUGCUGAUGUUGCUGUAGGGUACGAGUGGUAGGUCCCACAGGAAAGAUCAUGGACGUUCAACUUUCUGUUCUAUUUCUUCAACGUGCUUCUUCAAGGUUAGGCAACGAGUGGUCGUUCAACUUUCUAAUCUCAAUUCUUCAACAUUCUUCUUCAUGGCUAGGGAACAAGCUAUAAUAAGCUACAUGGCAAUGGAAAAUUAAGGGUUUAUCAAAUACACUAGGUAUGCUAAUGAGGAUGUAUACUCUAUAAAGAGUACUACCUAUACGGUCGACAUAUGUUCUUACUCUCUUCCUUUCUAUAUAUGCGUUCCACU